AUUUCUGAGGAUUUGAUCCUGGUCCAGGAUGAACGCUGGCGGUGUGGAUUAGGCAUGCAAGUCGAUCGCUCAGUGCUUCGCACCGAGCGCGCGGAAGGACGCGGAACGAACGCGGACUGACGCGGAAUUAAUUUUCCGCGAGGUCGGCGUUAAGUCCGCAUAAUUCGGCGCUCUCAAUGCGGGGCAUUGAGAGAGGCGAACGAGUUAGUAACACCUUGGUAACCUGCCCUGAAGAUGGACAUAGCUCGCCGAAAGGCGGGGUAAUUUCCAAUAGCGCCAGUGCUUCGCACUGACAUGCGGAUUAAUGCUGAUACUCCGACUAUCGUUGGAGCCGCUGAUAAAUGCUGAUAAGAAAUUAUCCGCAUAAAUCAGUUUAAAUCGGCAUAAAUCAGCGUGCCAAUGCGCAGCAUUGGUUAAAGAUGCAAAUCGCUUUAGGAUGGGCCUAGGUCUGAUCAGCUAGUUGGUAAGGUAAUGGCUUACCAAGGCUAUGACCAGUAGGGGGGCUGAGAGGCUGUUCCCCAACGACGAGACUGAGAUACGGCUCGUACACCUACGGGUGGCAGCAGUCGAGAAUAUUCCGCAAUGGGCGAAAGCCUGACGGAGCGACACCGCGUAAAGGAAGAAGUGCUUAGGCAUGUAAACUUUUUUUGACCUUGAUAAAGUCUAAUGCACCUCACUGCGUUCGGUGCGAACUCAAGCGAAAAUCUAAAAACUAAAAGCGAAAAACAACAGCUAAAAACUUAAAACUAACCAAAACCUUAGUUUUUAACUUUUAGUUGUUACUUUAAGUUUUACGAUUUAAGCUUUAAGUUUGAGCAAGCGCCGAGCAUAGCGAGGUGCGUUAGAUUGAUAGUAAAGGUAGAAUAAGAAGCGGCAAACCUCGUGCCAGCAGCAGCGGUAAUACGAGGGCUUCAAGCGUUAUCCGGAUUUAUUGGGCGUAAAGCGCGCGAAGGUGGUCCGCCCCGCAAGGGGUGGCCCCGCCCCAAUUUUGCUUUUGAGUUUUAUGGCGGCGCAUGGGCGAAUAGCCCAGCCCUAUUCGGGUCAAGCUGCUGCAUAAUGAAUUAUACAUAAUAUGACGCGACAUAGCGUAUGUAUUAUGGUUCUCGACGGCAAAAUUGGAGCGGGGACUUAAGUCCACUGUUUAAUUCCGAGGCUCAACCUCGGAGCUGCAGUGGAAACUGGCGGACUAGAGAUAGGGAGAGGUUGAAUGGAACUCACGGUGUAGGGGUGAUAUCCGUUGAUAUCGUGGGGAACACCAAAAGCGAAGGCAGUCAACUAGCCCUGUUCUGACACUGUUGCACGAAAGCGUGGGCAUAAAAAAGGGUUAGAUAUCCUUGUAUUCCACGCCCUAAACGAUGUCGAUUAGUCAUUGGAAGCAUCGACCCUUUCAGUGGCGUAGCUUACGCGUUAAAUCGACCGCCUGGGAAGUACGGCCGCAAGGCUAAAACUCAAAGGAAUAGACGGGGACUCGCACAAGCGGUGGAUCAUGACGUUUAAUUCGAUGACAAACGAGGAACCUCACCAGGGCUUGAAAUUGUAGCCGUAUGCUUUGUCUGAAAGGACGGAGUUUCCCGCAAGGGAGGGCUAUAACAGGUGUUGCAUGGUUGUCGUCAGCUCGUGCCGUGAGGCGUUCCCUUCAGUGGGGUAACGAGCGCAACCCUUGUCCUGCGUUACAAGUGUCGCAGGAGACAGUCCCGUGAAACGGGAAGGAAGUGAGGAUGACGCCAAAUCAGCAUGACCCUUUGAUGCCCUGGGCAACACUCAUGAUACAAUGGCCGAGACAAUGCGUUGCCAAGCCGCGAGGCGGAGCUAAUCGCAUCAAACUCGGUCUCAGUUCAGAUUGCAGUCUGCAACUCGACUGCAUGAAGCCGGAAUCGCUAGUAAACGCGUAUCAGCUAUGGCGCGUUGAAUACGUUCUCGAGUCCUGUACUCACCUUAAUAAAUGCGCUUGGCAGCUUUUAGAACUAAGCGGUUGAAAUCCGCUCUCC
rnacentral:rRNA from 1 species